rnacentral:tRNA from 1 species
GCCUGGAUGGCUCUGUUGGUAGAGCAUAAGACUCUAGAUCUCAGGGUUGUGAGUUCGAGCCCCAUGUUGGGUG